rnacentral:rRNA from 1 species
UUUGAUCCUUGCUUCAGGAUGAACGCUAGCGACCAGGUUUACCACAUUCAAGUUGGAGGGGGCAGGGCAGGGGGGGUUAAUUCGCGGGCGGCGGCCGGGCCCACGGGUGAGUUAACGCGUAUGCAACCUGCCCAUAGCAGCGGGAUACCGGGAGAAAUUCCGACUAAUACCGCAUAUAUCUGUUUUGUUGCAUGACAGACGGAGGAAAGGAGACGGCUAGGGAUGGGCAUGCGAGGCAUUAGGUAGUUGGCGGGGUAACGGCCCACCAAGCCGACGAUGCCUAGGGGUUUUGAGAGGAAGGUCCCCCACAUUGGUACUGAGACACGGACCAAACUCCUACGGGAGGCAGCAGUGAGGAAUAUUGGUCAAUGGGCGCAAGCCUGAACCAGCCAAGUCGCGUGAAGGAAGACGGCCCUAUGGGUUGUAAACUUCUUUAGGGUGGGAACAAAGGACGCCACGCGUGGCGAGAUGAGUGUACCACCAGAAUAAGCAUCGGCUAACUCCGUGCCAGCAGCCGCGGUAAUACGGAGGAUGCGAGCGUUAUCCGGAUUUAUUGGGUUUAAAGGGUGCGUAGGCGGUUUGUCAAGUCAGCGGUCAAACUGCGGGGCUUAACCUCGUAUUGCCGUUGAAACUGGCUGACUAGCGUGGCGUCGAGGUGUGCGGAAUGCGUUGUGUAGCGGUGAAAUGCAUAGAUAUGACGCAGAACUCCGAUUGCGAAGGCAGCACACCGGGCGCCUACGGACGCUGAGGCACGAAAGCGUGGGUAUCGAACAGGAUUAGAUACCCUGGUAGUCCACGCAGUAAACGAUGAAUACUUGCUGUCCGGCAGCGAUGUUGGGCGGCGGAGCGAAAGCG